rnacentral:lncRNA from 1 species
UUCAUUACAACUAAAGCAGAGUACGCAUAAAAAGAUACAUAAAUUGAUAAAAUUAUCCCAAUCAAAGACGAAUAACGGACAUCACAACUUCUAUUAGUCGAAUUAGAGCACUAAACGUAAAAGGAUUUUGAUGACUGUACAUUUUACACCCCCUCACAACGGGGGCCUACGCCAAUAAAAAAAAAAAAAGGUGCGGGCUCCCCUGUUGUGAGGGAGCUAUCACCCACCAUGUGAAGAAGAAUGUACCUCUAGCAUGGUUGAACAUAAAAAUUAUCAGGGAUAGUAUACUUCAAUACAACUUAAAAAUUCUUCGGCUGUUAUUUCAGCCGGCCAACUUAAAUCAGCAUCAGAAUUCAACUGAUCGUGGUUCUAAGGCAUUUCUUCAAUUAAACUCCUUUUUGCUUCGACGCAGAACUUUGGUUGAUCCCAUGAAAUUCUACAAACGGCAUAAUCCUUGUUCACUCCCUCUAAAGAAAUUCCUUCCAACGUGUACUCGGUCAUUAUCCACCGACCGUUUCUAUUUUGCUCAUCUUGGUUCAAAUUGCCGUUCACUUUGAAUGUAAAUGACUUCUUUACACCAAUGACUUCGCCGUUGCUAUUCCGAAUAGAUUUCUGCUUAGAUUUUUCGGUCCAGGAUCCAAAACCGGCCACCCUAAUAUACCUUCUGUCUGUUCUUUUUAACUUCGUGAAGACGUAAAUUUCUUUCUUAACAACGCUUUCAGACUCCCCAACAAUUUCCCAUGGAUCAUUGUUGGAAAAAAUAAUCCACGGAGUUUUAUUCUCUCCAUAUAGGUUUCUGUCGAGAAUCUUCUCACAUGGCAGUACAGAUCCCAUUGCUUUGGGUUUUAAGUAAUGUGUUAAAAGAAUUUUGUCGGAGGGUUUGAAAACGAAACCUUGUGGUAUUGAUAAUGCCAUACCCGAGCUUUCAAGAAGAUUGAGAAUUCGAGCUGUGUAUGUGAGAGACGAAGUGUAUUGUCUCGGACCACAAAAUUAUCUCCAGAUUAAGAAAGAAGGUUUUUC